GAAAGCGUUGCCGCAGGCAACGACCCGAAGGGCGAGGCGCAACGCGCCGAGUAAUCCUUCCCCCACCACCA
rnacentral:sRNA from 2 species